GACGAACGCUGGCGGCGUGCUUAACACAUGCAAGUCGAACGGAAAGGCCCUGCUCUUGUGGGGUGCUCGAGUGGCGAACGGGUGAGUAACACGUGAGUAACCUGCCCUUGACUUUGGGAUAACUUCAGGAAACUGGGGCUAAUACCGGAUAGGAGCUCCUGCUGCACGGUGGGGGUUGGAAAGUUUCGGCGGUUGGGGAUGGACUCGCGGCUUAUCAGCUUGUUGGUGGGGUAGUGGCUUACCAAGGCUUUGACGGGUAGCCGGCCUGAGAGGGUGACCGGCCACAUUGGGACUGAGAUACGGCCCAGACUCCUACGGGAGGCAGCAGUGGGGAAUAUUGCACAAUGGGCGGAAGCCUGAUGCAGCAACGCCGCGUGCGGGAUGACGGCCUUCGGGUUGUAAACCGCUUUCGCCUGUGACGAAGCGUGAGUGACGGUAAUGGGUAAAGAAGCACCGGCUAACUACGUG
rnacentral:rRNA from 1 species